rnacentral:rRNA from 1 species
AUUGAACGCUGGCGGCAGGCCUAACACAUGCAAGUCGAGCGAGCGGCGGACGGGUGAGUAAUGUCUGGGAAUCUGCCCGAUAGAGGGGGAUAACUACUGGAAACGGUAGCUAAUACCGCAUACUAUCGGAUGUACCCAGAUGGGAUUAGCUAGUAGGUGGGGUAAAGGCUCACCAAGGCGACGAUCCCUAGCUGGUCUGAGAGGAUGACCAGCCACACUGGGACUGAGACACGGUCCAGACUCCUACGGGAGGCAGCAGUGGGGAAUAUGGCACAAUGGGCGCAAGCCUGAUGCAGCCAUGCCGCGUGUAUGAAGAAGGCCUUAGGGUUGUAAAGUACUUUCAGCGGGGAGGCGUUACCCGCAGAAGAAGCACCGGCUAACUCCGUGCCAGCAGCCGCGGUAAUAC